UAGAAUAAAGCUCGCUGGAUAGAGUGUUUAGCUGUUAACUAAAAUAUUACAGGAUCAAGGCCUGUUAUUCUAG
rnacentral:tRNA from 1 species